UGGGGAAUUUUGGACAAUGGGGGAAACCCUGAUCCAGCCACGCCGCGUGAGUGAUGAAGGCCUUCGGGUCGUAAAGCUCUGUGGGGAGGGACGAACGUCCCCGUGAAGAACGGGGGGUGACGGUACCUCCUUAGCAAGCACCGGCUAACUUCGUGCCAGCAGCCGCGGUAAUACGAAGGGUGCAAACGUUGCUCGGAAUCAUUGGGCGUAAAGCGCACGUAGGCGGCCUUGCAAGUCGGAUGUGAAAUCCCUCGGCUCAACCGAGGACGUGCAUCCGAAACUGCUUGGCUCGAGUAUGGAAGAGGGUCGCAGAAUUCCCGGUGUAGAGGUGAAAUUCGUAGAUAUCGGGAGGAAUACCAGUGGCGAAGGCGGCGACCUGGGCCAAUACUGACGCUGAGGUGCGAAAGCGUGGGGAGCAAA
rnacentral:rRNA from 1 species